CUGUCCCUUGUUCUCCCUGCAUAUGUGUGUGUGGGUGGGUGUGGCCCUGGCAGGUGAUUGGCCACACCUGAAGACCAUGUCACACCUGCAGCUGAUCAGGCCUCGUCGGAGGAGCUACUUGAGAGUGUGGUGGAGCUCUCUCCGACGCUGGAUCAUUGCGUGGCUUCACGAGUAGCGAGAGACGAGAGGGCAGCAAGCACGGGGUGCUCAUCACGGAGAAGCGGAGACAGGAGCACUAACACUGGGAAGAGGACACGUCACGGGAGUCGGGAGAGCACGGGAUUUAUUGUCAUGUUUUUCCAUCAAUGUAAAUAAACACACUGCUUGUACUAAGAGCACCGCGCCUGGGUCCUCCAUUCCCCAUAUCCCCACGGUCUGCCAUGUCAAACCGUGACAAUUACACUGUGGUAGCGAACCAGAAACAUUGCCAUAAUAUUUUAAUACUCCAGCCUACCUGUUUGUGCAAGGGCAGAAGGUCUUUAAGAGCUUACACCCUGUGUAUCCUGUUUUGACUGGUGGG
rnacentral:lncRNA from 1 species